AGUGCAUACCUGGUGGGGACACAGAGCUGGGCAAGAGAAGCUUUGAUAUGCUGCAACCCAGUGCAUCUUUGUGUCCCAGCGCAGAAGUUGUCUCUGUUCUUCAGUAUCAACACAUUUAAAGCCAGUCUCAUCCAGAUGCUGCUUGCAGGGUCCACGUGUUCUCAGGUUGACGCAAGGAUGGAGAGGCUCAGAGUCUGCAGGAUUAAAAAAUACAAGCUAUAUUUAUGAAUGGGAGAAGCUGGGGGAAACCUGGAGUUUGCUCUGGUUUGCCUAAUGAAGAGGAGGAAGAUAGGAGUGUUACCUGGAAGAGAGCUUAAACUUUGCCCUGCCAGAACCCUCCCAGCCUUCCCAAGGGUUUCACCACUCUUCAGAGCCCUCUAUGUGACUUCUAACUCAAAGACAAUGAUAGAGCCAAAGAUAGGAUGCUGCCCUUUACACUCUUGGUGCUGUCAUAAUGGGCAGCCAAUGCAACACUUCAGUGUCUGCUCUUAAAGCUUCUCUUGCAUUUUUAGCAUCCUGUACUCAUUAGACACCAUGUAACUCUGAAAUGGAGGAGCACUGUAGAGGAGAAUCUGCCCUCUGCAUCCCAGAACUAUGCACCAGCUCCAUUUCUGUUGCUUUUCCAGCAAAAUUUACUAAAGAAUGGAGUUGAAAACGUACUCAGAUAGAAAACAGUGACUUUUAUUCAUAAAUAAAAGAGAGAGAAAGAAAGAGCAAGAGAUAGCAGCAAAGGAUGUCAGGAAGAGAAAACCAGACAGAAAAAGCGUGUUUUUCUGAGUGAAACUGUAUGUUUCUCUGUGACUUUAUUAUUCAGAUACACGUAAGGCCAAUGGAUAGGCCUGAAUGUCACUGCUGAGUUUAAAAUACCAAUAUACCCUAUGAAGACUCUGCAGGCACAUCCCAUAAUAAGCUUGGGACUGCUGCUCCUGCCUUGCAAGAAGCUCCCUGUGGCACAACCAUACCUCCUGAACUCCUGGGUGGUGAAGAAAUCUGCCUUAAAGGUGGAAAAUGAUUUGUGAAUCCUAAUGGCAACGUGGAGGGUGACAUGAGAGUUUACUCUUUGCUCCCAGUGCUGGGUAGACUUUGCUGGAGCCAUGCGGGGACAACAACCCUCAUUCCUCACAUGUUCUGUUUUUUUUUUUUCCCUUUCACUCCUCCCAAAAAUCAGUGACAUCCUUUUUUUUUUUUUCCUUUCCCCCUAUCCAAAGCAAUACAAUACAGAGCUGAAAGGCACCUUGAGAAAGGUCUUCCAAUCUGGCUUGCAAAGGUUUUCUUGGAAUUAAGAAAUAAGCAUAAGAACAACCAAAUUAAAAAGAGGACAAUUUAGAAGAGUGUCCUAGAUGCUUUCUGCCCACCAAUGCUGAGGAACACUGCCAAAGCAAAUUCUGUCUAUCCAAAGAAAAAGGAGACAAACAAUUGUUCUCUUCAGUGCCAGGCUUUAGGUCUUGAGAAAGCUGGGGCUGUAUCAAUUGCAAGCACAAUUCCUGCGUUUCCAGGGGGAAUCUGUUGGUGUCAAAGCAAUAAGAAGAAAAUAAAGGUUUGAAGAAGAAAGCCUUGAAAUGGUGUUUGUGAAAGAUGCAUCUGAGCCUUUAGAUUCUGGCCACAAAACCUGAAGUAGAAAUUUACCAUCUGUUUGGGCUUUAGAUGUUAAAAAUCCACCUCUUCCUGAUGGUGGAGUAGGUUUAAUAUGGUGUUCUAAUGUGUAAGGAUGAUGGGGUUGGCACAUGCACAGAUGCAACUCAGUAAUUCACCCACUUGCACCAGGGGACAACCUCACAUGCUGGUGAGAACUGAUGUCUCAAAAUGGGAAGGAACCAUAAGACUGCUGAAUCAUUAAGGUUGGGAAAGACCUCUAAUAUCAUCUAGCAAUAAAUCAUUGUGGAUUUGUCAUGGAUUAUUUUUG
rnacentral:lncRNA from 7 species